rnacentral:rRNA from 1 species
AUGGGAAGGAAGAUGAGGAAUGAUGAUGAGCUGAGCAAGCUUUUUCUGUCCCACGAAUUCUUGAAACUCUCCUCCAAUGUCCUGGAUAGACCCUACUGCUACAAAAAUGAGUUGGCCAUGCUGUUUAAGGUGGAGGAAGAGGAGGAGUAUGAGAGGGUGAGGGAGGCCGAGAGAGAGAUGGAGAGGCAGAGGGCGAAGAGUAAGCAGAGGAGGCAGAGGGAGAAGAACAAGCAGCAGAUUGUGGUGAAGGAGGAGCGCGUUGCUGAUGAGCAGCAAACAAAAUCUCAAACGGAGCAACUCAAAGAGUGGAUGGAUGAUGCGCUGGAAUUUUUCGCAGGCCACCGUAGCAUCUGGGAACGCUCUAGUGGCAGCAAGGCCGGGCGGUUCGGUGGCUUCGAAGAUAAAACGACAUUAAGUCCUCUCCAAUUUACACACUGCACAUCCGGUAUCCUUCUGCCCCGUGCCGCUGUCACUGAAAGAACGUUGCAAAUCUACUCAUUCAAACUUGUUGGACUAACGGAGCAGCUGAAGUGGCCACUCUCUGUUUAUGGCGUGGUUGCUGCCCGAGACACCGUAGACCGCAACCGCAACCUUCUCUUCUCUCGGUCGAGGAUCAGGGGUCAAUUACUCUCUGGACAUGACUCUUAUCUGUGCUUGACUGGCCCGUCUCGAGCAAUUCUAGUUGGGGAUUAUGUUGACUUUGAAGUUGAACUAAAAGUACGUGAUGGAGAUGAUGAGCACAAUGAUACACAGUUGAUGUGUGUUAGCAAGCGGUAUAAAGAAGCAGACGGCGACGGUGAGCAACCUUUACUCUUCGAUAGCCCAUUAUGUACUGCGGAGUUGAGGUUUGAGCUUUUUCCUACGACGGUCCAGCUCACUGUAUUGUCCGUUCGUGUUGUUGGAGGGGAGUUCCCUUUUAGCUCUGGGGGUCAGGUUGCUUGUAUUGUUUCUGGCCGUGAGAGGGUUGUGCUGUUUGAUUCUACUGAAAAAAUUACUAGAGAAGACGAAGUAGUUUUGGAUGGUUAUGUUCCUUUGUCAAGAAACGCCAUUUCAGUAGAGUUUGAAAAAGGAGUGACUGUUGAGGUAACAGCCUAUGUUGAUUCUGGUUCUAUCGCUGAUCGUGUCCACUUCCCUUCCAAGUGGUGCAACAUUAGUCAGGAUAGAUGUUUCAUCUGUGGUUCUGAGGUGGAGAUUACUGUUGCAUGGUCCCGGGUUGUGAGAGACAAGAUGGAGAUGUUGCUGGAGGGAUACGCUACCCAGGUGUAG